UUCAAGGGUCGGUAGACAGACUCGAGAAUGAAUGAGUGCCAGAGCAGUCACCCUGAACUGACAUCACGGACCAUUCAUUCUUACUCCCGUCUUUUGGUCCCUUUUUUUCUACCAACCCUUGAGCUUAGCCACUCGCUGCUUUAUUCCUCAUUGUUCCGCGUUCUAAAAGAUGAGGCAAGGACGAUCGUUCUCCCUCCCUCCUUCCCUCCCUGCGCUCCAAAAAGGAUCCUAAAGCGGGCAAAAUCAUAAUGCCUUGUAGUGCAAACGCAAUUUAUUGUGCCUACAACACGAGGAGCACAUGAAUGCUCGACCUUGGAGACUCGUCUAACGACCUCUAAACACACAGCACGUACUCGUUUGGAACCCACCAGAGUUGACUCAAUUCGAAAUGGAUCACCCUAAUUGUGCUCCCUUGAAAAGCGGACAAAACAAGCUCGCAAUGGACCGGGCGUCUGCUAUUCAGCCGUCCUUGAACAAGCAACGUUGUAUUAUCAGCCCAACUUAAGUCAAUGCUAGUGCCAAAACGAUGUCUUGCUCAAAACGAAUAAUAAGUAGCUCAUGGAUCCUUUCUUUUUCCACGGAGCAUCUUCGGAAUACACCAGACUUUAAAACUAGACAGUACGACAAAAUCAAAUAACCAUUCAAAUACAAACAUGUUCAAACUUUGACUAUGACUUGAAACGACCAUGUCAAAACUUGUAAUGCAUCAGCUCUUGCCGCGGAGUUUUGCUUAUAAUCCCAGUUGUUGUUGCUACUUUAUUCCUUUCAAAAACAUGUCUACAUAGUUAUAGAAAAAGCGAAUAACAAUGAGCAACUACUCGUA